rnacentral:rRNA from 1 species
GAGUUUGAUCCUGGCUCAGGACGAACGCUGGCGGCGUGCCUAAUACAUGCAAGUCGAACGCACUCUCGUUUAGAUUGAAGGAGCUUGCUCCUGAUUGAUAAACAUUUGAGUGAGUGGCGGACGGGUGAGUAACACGUGGGUAACCUGCCCUAAAGUGGGGGAUAACAUUUGGAAACAGAUGCUAAUACCGCAUAAAACCUAACACCGCAUGGUGUAGGGUUGAAAGAUGGUUUCGGCUAUCACUUUAGGAUGGACCCGCGGUGCAUUAGUUAGUUGGUGAGGUAAAGGCUCACCAAGACCGUGAUGCAUAGCCGACCUGAGAGGGUAAUCGGCCACACUGGGACUGAGACACGGCCCAGACUCCUACGGGAGGCAGCAGUAGGGAAUCUUCCACAAUGGACGAAAGUCUGAUGGAGCAACGCCGCGUGAGUGAAGAAGGUUUUCGGAUCGUAAAACUCUGUUGUUGGAGAAGAAUGUAUCUGAUAGUAACUGAUCAGGUAGUGACGGUAUCCAACCAGAAAGCCACGGCUAACUACGUGCCAGCAGCCGCGGUAAU